AUUGAACGCUGGCGGCAGGCCUAACACAUGCAAGUCGAACGAGUGGCGGACGGGUGAGUAAUGUCUGGGAAACUGCCCGAUGGCGGGGGAUAACUACUGGAAACGGUAGCUAAUACCGCAUCCCAUCGGAUGUGCCCAGAUGGGAUUAGCUUGUCGGUGAGGUAAAGGCCCACAAAGGCGACGAUCCGUAGCGGGUCUGAGAGGAUGAGCAGCCACACUGGAACUGAGACACGGUCCAGACUCCGACGGGAGGCAGCAGUGGGGAAUAUUGGACAAUGGGAGCAAGCCUGAUCCAGCCAUACCGCGUAGGUGAAGAAGGCCUUCGGGUUGUAAAGCCCUUUUGUUGGGAAAGCGGUACCCAAAGAAUAAGCACCGGCUAACUUCGUGCCAGCAGCCGCGGUAAUUC
rnacentral:rRNA from 1 species